UGGGGAAUCUUGCGCAAUGGGCGGAAGCCUGACGCAGCAACGCCGCGUGCGGGAAGAAGGCCUUCGGGUUGUAAACCGCUUUCAGCAGGGACGAAGGCGAGCGGGUUAAUAGCCCGUCAGUUGACUGUACCUGCAGAAGAAGGUCCGGCUAACUACGUGCCAGCAGCCGCGGUAAUACGUAGGGACCGAGCGUUGUCCGGAAUCAUUGGGCGUAAAGAGCGUGUAGGCGGCCCCUUAAGUCCUGCGUGAAAUCCUGCGGCUCAACCGCAGACGGUCGUGGGAAACUGGAGGGCUAGAGUGCGGGAGAGGAGAGUGGAAUUCCCGGUGUAGCGGUGAAAUGCGCAGAUAUCGGGAAGAACACCCGUGGCGAAGGCGGCUCUCUGGAACGCAACUGACGCUGAGACGCGAAAGCGUGGGGAGCAAACAG
rnacentral:rRNA from 1 species